rnacentral:rRNA from 1 species
AACUACGUGCCAGCAGCCGCGGUAAUACGUAGGGGGCAAGCGUUAUCCGGAAUCACUGGGCGUAAAGGGUGCGUAGGCGGCUUUAGCAAGCCAGGGGGUGAAAGGCAUUGGCUCAACCAAUGUAAGCCUUUGGAACUGUUAGGCUUGAGUGCAGGAGAGGUAAGUGGAAUUCCUAGUGUAGAGGUGAAAUUCGUAGAUAUUAGGAGGAACACCAGUGGCGAAGGCGACUUACUGGACUGUAACUGACGCUGAUGCACGAAAGCGUGGGUAGCGAACAGGAUUAGAUACCCUGGUAA